CAACCCUCGACUGCCCCUUGGGGCGUCGGCGUUGGGGGACGGCGUGGCUGGCCCGGGCUUGCCUGGGCCGAUGCCUCGCCGCCCCCGAAAUGCAGUGGCGACCCCUCCGCGGCCUCCCCUGCGCAGUAGCAAACGCUCGCACCGGAGCCCGACGAGGCCUUGCCGUAAAACCCCCAACCCAGCAAA
rnacentral:misc_RNA from 1 species